rnacentral:rRNA from 1 species
UACGUAGGGUGCGAGCGUUAAUCGGAAUUACUGGGCGUAAAGCGUGCGCAGGCGGUUGUGCAAGACAGAUGUGAAAUCCCCGGGCUUAACCUGGGAAUUGCAUUUGUGACUGCACGGCUAGAGUGUGUCAGAGGGAGGUAGAAUUCCACGUGUAGCAGUGAAAUGCGUAGAUAUGUGGAGGAAUACCGAUGGCGAAGGCAGCCUCCUGGGAUAACACUGACGCUCAUGCACGAAAGCGUGGGGAGCAAAC